rnacentral:rRNA from 1 species
GACGAACGCUGGCGGCGUGCUUAACACAUGCAAGUCGAACGGUGAAGCGCCUUCCUUUUUGGUGGGUGUGGAUGAGUGGCGAACGGGUGAGUAACACGUUAGUAACCUGCCCCCUUCUUCUGGAUAACCGCAUGAAAGUGUGGCUAAUACGGGAUAUUCUGGGUCUGUCGCAUGAUGGGUCUGGGAAAGAUAUUGUUUCGGUGGGGGAUGGGCUCGCGGCCUAUCAGCUUGUUGGUGGGGUGAUGGCCUACCAAGGCGGUGACGGGUAGCCGGCCUGAGAGGGUGGACGGUCCCACUGGGACUGAGACACGGCCCAGACUCCUACGGGAGGCAGCAGUGGGGAAUAUUGCACAAUGGGCGCAAGCCUGAUGCAGCGACGCCGCGUGAGGGAUGGAGGCCUUCGGGUUGUGAACCUCUUUCGCCAGUGAAGCAGGCCUGCCUCGUUUGUGGGUGGGUUGACGGUAGCUGGAUAAGAAGCGCCGGCUAACUACGUG